AAGCAAAUAGCGGCGUUCACUGCACCCCAUCACUAAGCCUGCACGAAUGAAUGCGAUACACCUGAUCUGCAUUCAUCAUAAGCGGAGAGUAUCAUCGUCAUCGUCUCGCUCGUGCGAUAGGAGAGACGGAGGGAAGGCAACAUGGCGCAGCAGCUGCUACUGAGGAGGCUGGGGUCGUGAGACUGGGAGCAUACUACCAACGAGCAUGUCUGUCAUCAUCGGCUGCGAUCCCCUUACCGAUAUCAGAUGUACAGCCACAGCACACACAGAUCUUCAUUAACAAUGAGUGGCACGCGGCAACCGACGGACGCACCUUGCCGACAAUCAACCCAUCUACAGGUGAGAAGAUUGCCGACGUCGCCGACGGC